UGGGCCCCUCUGGGAGCAUUUGAGGAGGGCAGGGAGAGGAGAGCUUGUGGCAUCAGAGCCAGCCCCUUGCUAUAAUAUGUUUAUGUGAUUAUGUGGGAUAUCCUUUCAUAUCAGCUGAAGGCUCAGAACUGGACAUCAAGAAAAUUCACAUGGUGGCCAGUGAGCAGCAUAGCCACUUGGGAAGGCUAAUGGUGGGGAGGCCCAGGAGGAGGUUGAUAGACUUCUUUGCACUGGGCUACUUGGUGAUAGAGAGCAGAACUCUCAGCCCUAUGACUCUAAUGAUGGUGACUGGGAGGCUGGCAUUGCAGGCUAUAAAUCAGAAUGAUGUGGGGGGAAGGUGGGGCUUUUCUCCUAAACAACACAUGCCUAAGCUUCACCCCUAGAAAUACGAAUUUGUAGGUCUUGAGUGGGAUCUGAGUGUGUGUAUUUUGAAAAAGUCCUCCCAGUUGUCUCAAUUUGGGAAAAGUUGACAUCUUUCCUAUGUUGAGUCUCCCAUUAACACAGAAAGUCUCUCCAUUUAGAUUUUCUUGAUUUCUUAAUUUCAGAAUUAGUGUUAAAUUUCCUGAAAACAUUUGGUAGAAUUCUCAAGUCCAAUUUCAUGUACCUAGGGAUUUCUUUUGGGGGAAGUUUUUAAUGAGCAUUCAAUUUUCUUGAACUUUAUUAGGGUAUUCAAAUUAUUUCAUAAUGGGUGAGUUGUGAUAGUUUGUACUUCUAAGGAGAAUUGGUCCAUUUUUUCUAAGUUGUGAAAUUUGUGUGUGUAGAGUUGUUCAUAGUAUUUCCUUAUUAUCCAUUUGAUGUCUUCCAAUUCUCUAGUGAAACCCUGUUUCAUUCCUGAUAUUAGUUAUUUGUGCCUUCUCUUUUCUUCUGUGUGAAUAUUGAUGGAAGUUUAUCAAUUUUAUUGAACUUUAAAAAACACUCAUUUCAUUGAUUUUUCUCUGUUUUUCUGUUUUCAUUUUCACUGAUUUCUGCUUUUAUCUUUGUUUUUCUUCCUUCUGCUUGCUUUGGGUUUUUUGCUUUCUCUUUUCCAGUCUUGAGACAAGAGCUUAGUAAUCAAUUUCAGACUUUCCCUGUUUUAUAUCUCUAUAUUAAUUUAUUUCAGAGAGGAAGGGAGAGGGAGAGAUAGAAACAUCAAUGGUGAGAGAGAAUCAUUGAUCAGCUGCCUCCUGCACGCCCCCUACUGGGAAUUGAGCCUGCAACCCUGGCAUGUGCCCUGACCUGGAAUCAAACCAUGACCUCCUGGUUCAUAGGUCAAUGCUCAACCACUCAUCCACGCUGGCUGAGCUGUAUCAUGUUUAUUGAUUUGUGGAUAUUAUACCAACCUCACAUCCUACUGGAUCAUGGUGUGCAAUCUUUUUUUAUGUAUUGCUGGAUCCGGUUUACUAAUAUUUUGUUGAGGAUUUUAGCAUCUAUGUUCAUAAGGGAUAUUUGCCUAUAAUUUUCUUUCUUUGUAGUGUCUUUAUCUGGUUUUGGCAUUAGGAUAAUGCUGGUCUUGUAAAAUGAGCUUGGGAGUCCUCCCUCCUCUUGAAUUUUUUGGAAUAGUUUGAGAAGGAUAGGUUUUAGUUCUCUGAAUGUUUGGGAAAUUCACCUGUGAAGCCAUUCAGUCCAGGACUUCUGUUUGUUGGGAGUUUUUUUUAUUACUGCUUCAGUUUCACUAAUUGUCAUCUGUCUAUUCAGGUUCUCUGAUUCUUUCUGAUUCAGUUUUGGAAGAGUAUAUGUUUUUAGGAAUUUGUGCAUUUCUUCCAGAUUGUCCAAUUUGUUGGCAUAUAGGCUUUCAUAAUAUUUUGUUACAAUCCUUUUUAUUUCUUUCAUGUCAGUUGUUACUUCUCUUUCAUUUCUGAUUUUAUUUAUUUGGGUCCUCUCUCUUUUUUUCUUGAUGAGUCAGGUUAAAGGUUUGUCAAUUGUGUUUGUGUUUUCUAAGAACCAGCUCUUGGUUACAUUGAUCUUUUGUAUUGUUGUUUUUUAUGACUGUUUCUUUUAUUUCUGCUCUGAUCUUUAUUAUUUCCUUCCUUACUCACGUUGGGCUUUAUUUAUUGUACUUUUUCAAGUUCCUUUAAGUGUAAAGUUAAAUUGUUUAUUUGAGAUUUUCGUUUCUUGAGAUAGGCCUGUAAUGCUAUGAAUUUCUUCUUAGGACUGCUUUCACAGUGUCCCAUAGGUUUUGGGUGGUUGUGUUCUCAUUUUCAUUUAUUUCAAGAUAGCUUUUGAUUCUUCUUGAUCUCAUUGUUACCUUAUUCAUUGUUUAGUAACAUGUUAUUUAGCCUUCAUGUCUUUGUGUGUGCUUUUCCAUUUUUUUCUUGCGAUUGAUUUCUAGUUUCAUACCAUUAUGAUCAGAGAAGAUGCUUGAUAUGAUUUCAGUUUUCUUAAAUUUAUUGAGACUUGUUUUGCAUCCUAACAUGUGGUCUGUCCUAGAAAAUGUUGGAUGUGCACUUUGAAAAUAAUGUAUAUUCUGCUUCUUUGGAGUGAAAUGCUCUGAAGAUGUCAGUUAAAUCCAUCUGAUCUAGUGUGCCAUUUAAGUUCCUCGUUUCUUUGUUGAUUUUCUGUCUGAAUAUCUAUCCAUCCAUGUCAAUGGGGCAUUAAAAUCCCCUACGAUGACAGUAUUACUGUUAGUCUCUCCCUUUAUAUCCAUCAAGAUUUGCUUUAUAUAUUUAGGUGCUCCCAUGUUGGGUAAUUAUUAUAAAUAUAUUUGAAACCUCCUGUAUGCUUUCAAUUACAUUCACAUUUUUCCCUCUCAGAGCUAGCCAUUGUCCUGAAGUUGGUGAUUAUCAUUCUUAUGCAUUUUGAUCCUUUUAUUACAUAGGAUGCCUCAUUAAGCCAUGUAUGAUAGUGUCUUACAUGUCUUUAAUGUUCUAUUAAUGGAAUCAUCAUAUUAGAGAUAAUAUUCUUUUUAACCUGCUUUCCCCCCCCCUGGACAUUGUGAUUGUGAGAUCCAUGUUGCAUCAAGUAGCUGAAAUUAAUUUAUUUUACUUGCUUUCUAGUGUUCUGUUGUAUGAGUAUAUGGCAGUUUAUUUAUUCUUCUGUAGAUGAACAUUUCACUGAUGAAUUAUGAGCAGGGGAUGACAUGGGCAGAUUUGUAUUUUAGAUAUAUCACUUUGGGUUGGGUUCUGAAAGAUAGACUUCAGAAGUUGAGAUUGGUGUAGAGCAGUGGCUUGCAAACACUUUGCACUCAGGACCCCUCUAUACUCUUAAAUAUUAUUGAGGACCCAAAAGAGCAUUUACUUUUUGGUUUAUAUUAAUAAUUUCUCAUAUUAUAAAUUAAAACAAAAUGCAAAGAUAUAUAUUAAUCCAUUCAGAGAUAAUAGUAAUAAGCUCAUUACAUCAAUGUUUAUGAAAAAUAACUAUUUUCAAACCAAAACAAAAUUUAGUGAGAAGAUUGACAUUUACAUUUCACAAAUAUUUUAAUGUUUGGGCUAAUAGAAAACAAUUGGGUCCUCAAAUCUGCUUCUGCAUGUGGUGAUAUCAUGUCAUAUACCCUUUGGAAAAAUUCCACUGUAUACUCGUGAGAGAAUGAGGAUGAAGUGAAAAAGACAAAUCACAUCUCAGUAUUAUCAUGAGCAUAGUUUUAAUCUUGGAUAUGCUCUGAAAAAGUUCCAGGGAUCCCCUAGCGUUUACUGGACCACAACUUAAAAACUGCUGAUGUAGAGGAGCCAGUUUCAAGGCUGUUGUAAGUAGCCUAGUUGUGAGAUAAUGAGGGUUCUGAUCACAACAUUGGUAGGAUGUGUGGAUGUAUGGAUGGAUGUGUGGAUGGAGAAGGGGAGGUGAAUAUGAGAGAGAUUUAAGGAGAAAAAUCAGAAGUUUUUCAGAAGGUGGUAUAGUGUUACACGCAAGGAGAAUAGAUUUCCAACUUAGGUGCAUGCUUCACAACCAACCUGUGAGGUGGACAUUUAGCUAGAAAUGGCAGAAUUUUAACCCAGAUCUGUCCAAGACAAGAACUCUUUGUUUUGUCUAGAGCAGAGUUAGAAGUGGUAGUCAUGGCAAGGAGGUAAUGCCCUUCUCAGAGACAACAGAGAGGAUGGGUGAGGCAACCAAGAGAUUUUGAAGAGGAGAGGAGGGAAGUAGGAGUUUAUUAACCCCAUAGAUUGUUCCAGUUCAGGGUUAUAAUGAUGGCAGACUUUGCCAGGAUGUGUAUUGGGAGAAUGGAGGAACCUAAAAUGCUCAGAACCAGAGGAACUUAGAAUGUUCUGAGUCACUGCCAAGCUUUCUGUUAUAAGGAGUUGUGUUUGAGCUGAGUGGGUAGUGGAGAUGUCUUCCAGCUCUGAUUUUGCCAUAUUGCA